AAUAAGCGGCUUCAGCGAAUUUUGAAAGACUACUACAUCCCAACAGAUGCUCAGCUUGAUGACUUAAUUAGCCUUGUGUAUCUUAAGAUGGCUAAACCCGAAUUUUCUAGUUUUACUUUUAGUUCAAUAAAAAUAUACAACAAUGUAGCAUCUACAACAACUCUGCUUUAUUCAUUUUUAUUAAUAACGCUUCCAUCCAAAUUAUUAUUAAUAAUCGAUGAACAUACCGCGUGAUCCCAAACCUCACUUAUUCCUAGAGAUAAAAAACUCCGCUAGAAAAUUGUCCAAGGUAAUUUUGUCAUCCUACAUGAUGGCUCCCUCUGUCGGUCCUGGAAUAGCUCGGACGGUUCGGGAAUCCCAGAGACGUGAAUGAACGCGUUAGGUUUGUACAUUUAUUAUUGUGUGAAGUAUCGCAUGGCAGAUGAGGGAAUAGUGGAGGGUAAAAACAAAGUUGUGACCAGUGUUGCCACCUUUGUAGCAGCACUUUGUACUAAAAAUUCCCUUUUAGCCACCAAAAUGCCCUUUAAGAGGCUACUGCAGCGAGCUAAUUUUGUUGUUAGCAACUAAGAAAAAAGUUGUGGUUGUGACCAAGGUCCGUAAAGCGUGUUGUACAAGAUUGGCCAGACAAAGGAUUUCAACGUAUGAAAGGUGAACCCCCCUGAGAUGCCCUACUCGUGACGUCACGUGGACGCCGACAUUUUAAGAGAAAAGUAUUCUAUAUUUAUGUAUACCUUUGUUAUUUUGUCACUGACAAAGGUACAGCAGGUCAGAAAAUUGCAUAGUAGAAGGGUAUUUUUCUUAUUUGCGCAUUUAUCAGCCCCGCAUUAACCUUGCCGUGUGGCCGGUCGCUUUUGCCUACAGUGGUCACUGUUGGUUGCCUAACCUAUUGACAUCACUCUUUUACACGGGAACUAUGCUGAACGCUCAGACCAGUUAAUAAUCAUGUCACUGGGUUAAGACAAGUAGCUGAAUGCUUUUAUCAGUUGGAAAGUAAUUUUGAAACAGCCCGUUCCUGAAGCCCUUUGCUUAACCAAGAGGAAAGAUCCAAAUUUCAAUGGAAUUCUGUUCAUCUUAACAGAGAAUAAAUACAAGUAACAGCUUAUGGACAAUAUGGCUACUAUGACAAGCCCAGAUGAAUCUGCAGAGGUAAUGGUAGAAUUGGCCCUUUAUCAAUCUAAAAGGGUUAUUUGUAAAAAAAUGUAUGUUUUAAAAUCCUUCCUAUCCUUCUAUCUAUUUUAUUGCUUAUAAUUUAAAAUUAUUAGAUUCAUGUGAUACCACCUAGUCAUAGUUCUGCCACCAAUGUGGAGGUUAAUGAAGGCAAUGAAGUGAUUAAAUGCAGUGAUUUGGAAACUUUGCCAGAGUUGUCUGAAAAUUCAUUAUAUUCUAACUAAUAAUUGUUUAAAAUUUUUCUUAGAAUAAUAUUUGCUUUUUGUU